rnacentral:rRNA from 1 species
GACGAACGCUGGCGGCGUGCUUAACACAUGCAAGUCGAACGGAAAGGCCCUGCUUUUGUGGGGUGCUCGAGUGGCGAACGGGUGAGUAACACGUGAGUAACCUGCCCCUGACUUUGGGAUAACUUCAGGAAACUGGGGCUAAUACCGGAUAGGAGCUCCUGCUGCAUGGUGGGGGUUGGAAAGUUUCGGCGGUUGGGGAUGGACUCGCGGCUUAUCAGCUUGUUGGUGGGGUAGUGGCUCACCAAGGCUUUGACGGGUAGCCGGCCUGAGAGGGUGACCGGCCACAUUGGGACUGAGAUACGGCCCAGACUCCUACGGGAGGCAGCAGUGGGGAAUAUUGCACAAUGGGCGGAAGCCUGAUGCAGCAACGCCGCGUGCGGGAUGACGGCCUUCGGGUUGUAAACCGCUUUCGCCUGUGACGAAGCGUGAGUGACGGUAAUGGGUAAAGAAGCACCGGCUAACUACGUG